UGGAAGCGUCUGGAAAGGCGCGCGAUACAGGGUGACAGCCCCGUACACAAAAAUGCACAUGCUGUGAGCUCGAUGAGUAGGGCGGGACACGUGGUAUCCUGUCUGAAUAUGGGGGGACCAUCCUCCAAGGCUAAAUACUCCUGACUGACCGAUAGUGAACCAGUACCGUGAGGGAAAGGCGAAAAGAACCCCGGCGAGGGGAGUGAAAAAGAACCUGAAACCGUGUACGUACAAGCAGUGGGAGCACGCUUAGGCGUGUGACUGCGUACCUUUUGUAUAAUGGGUCAGCGACUUAUAUUCUGUAGCAAGGUUAACCGAAUAGGGGAGCCGAAGGGAAACCGAGUCUUAACUGGGCGUUAAGUUGCAGGGUAUAGACCCGAAACCCGGUGAUCUAGCCAUGGGCAGGUUGAAGGUUGGGUAACACUAACUGGAGGACCGAACCGACUAAUGUUGAAAAAUUAGCGGAUGACUUGUGGCUGGGGGUGAAAGGCCAAUCAAACCGGGAGAUAGCUGGUUCUCCCCGAAAGCU
rnacentral:rRNA from 2 species